GUGAGCUUUACCUUGUCCAGAUUUCGCACAAAUCAUUUGGAAAUAUACGCUCUUGCAAUUUUUUUGUUGCACCUUAACCUGCUAAAGUACACAGUAAAGCUGGUGGAAAUUACAGGCUAUGAACCUACAAAGAAACAGCACCAUUAGCCUUCACAGAACUACCAGCAUGCUAUUAGCUGCUGAUAAUUACCAAGGAUUAAUUAAUAUAAGUUUUAUUAAUAUUAAAGGCCAUUGCUGAACCAAGACAAAACUCUGUCGGCGUUAACAAUAAAUGGCUCAGAUUUUUCGGGAUGCUUUUGAAAUUGUCAUGAACUGCUGAAUAUACAAAUCAAUCAAAACAACCAGUCAAAAAGUUGAUGGAUUUGAGAAAGCCCACGUUGCAAUGCAUACAGCUCCUACAGCGGAUGUAAGCGAUUUGCCACAGAGCAUCCCUAUAGCUUGUACUCUUGAUCAGAACAAGAGACAGAGCGUUCCCCAAAGAUCCACGACGUGUUUAACAGCCUGUAGUGAAGGCUGAAGAGAGCUUUUAGAAACCUCAUGUUGUCCAGGCAGAGCGCACAGUUUCUAUCGGCUGCAGUAAACCUUGUACGUCUUGUUGUACGUUUUAAAGAUGACUUAAAGGAACUUAAUCUAUAAUAGUACUUUACAAUACUGUCAUUCCUGGGUGAUACUAAUUGCUUGGUAAUGCUAAUGUAUGUCAGCUAGCUGCAGAGUGUUGUGGGGACCAGAGAGAAAGCCAAUAGAGAAACAAUUGUCUUAUCUUUUGCUUUACUUACCUCUUUUCCCUCUUCUGCGUGAAAGAAUAGUGGCAGAAUGGCAUUCCUUCUCCUCAUUACUCGGUAAAAAUACUAAUUUGUGUCUGACCCUCAUUCAGCACAGUUUGCACCUCUGUGAUGAUGCUGGCCCAGUAGAAGGGUGGUGGGAGCACUGUGCCAGAAGGCGAGGACAAAUAUCUGUAGGACUAUCUAAGUGAAAAUGUUUGAAAGUUGAGGGCACAUGUUGAGUUCACAAAAGGAAAUGCCGGUUUCUGUUGCAAUGUUGGUUACACAAUCACAUAAGGUUUUAUUUUUAAAAGCAAGUAAAAAAUUACGGUGCAUCAACUCCUCAACUGGUGUAAAUCAGCGUGGUUUUAUUGACUUUGAUGGAGCUAUGUCGAUUUAUACCAGAUGAGGAUUUGGCCCACUGUAUGGAGAUAUUUUUAUUUCUCUUCUCACCCUAUCAGUUAAGGAAAGGGUAAUCAUCAGAAAGCUGGAAGCAAUUACGCGUGUGUGAGGAGGGGGUAGUUUCAUAAUAGCUAACUUGAUAUUAUUUCCUGUAAAACGCAUCAGGAGAAUAGAGCCUGGAGCCUGCUGACCGGUUUGUUUUGCAAAGAAAUAUUUGUUCAAAUCUGUUUAUAAUAAUUUGUCAGCGAUGGACGGGCUGUGCUCGAGCACUCGCCCUCCACCAGCGGCAGAGGCGGCAGCGCUGCAGCCUGCAGGGCAGCAAGGGGCGGCUGAGAACGGACCAGGCAAAGCCGGGGCUUCAUUCGCGCCCGUGUAAAUCCAGAGGGAUCCUACCCAGAUCGGGGAAAAUACUCUCUAUUUACAACGGCGUGCCUAAAAACAAAAUUUGGCAGAGAUUUCAACUUUCAGACCUUCACAGAGGAAAAAAAAAAGAUAAAAAGAUCAUUUCCAAUUCUGAUGUACGCCGUGAAGAUGAGGUCCCCACUAAUUGUGAUGCGGUCAGAGAUUAUGAUUGAACUCAGCAAUCCACAGAAGAUUAAACCCUAAACCAUAACCUAAAAGUAUUAAGGGAACAAAAUAGAAUGACAUACCUAAACCAGAGCAGUUCCAAAUAAGGCACCUGUCAGAUUUUUCCAUGAGAUGUAGGCAGUUUAAGAUUUGCUACGACAGAAUUUGAGACUGCUGCAUUUCAGUUUAGUUCAGCUUCCAGGGUAAAGGUG
ensembl:lncRNA